UUUGUCCUCGCACAUAAAAUCCAUCUCACCCCUUUGUGCACCACCGCGCGGGCAACCCUUCGGGAUCAAACUGAUCCAGGAGGGGGCUUGCGUUUUCACACAAAACCCCCUUUUAAAAAAGUGUAGAAUGACCCCACUUUUGCGAUAACACGCAAUCAAUACAACUUUCAACAACGGAUCUCUUGGCUCUCGCAUCGAUGAAGAACGCAGCGAAAUGCGAUACGUAAUGUGAAUUGCAGAAUUCAGUGAAUCAUCGAAUCUUUGAACGCACCUUGCGCCCCUUGGUAUUCCGAGGGGCACACCCGUUUGAGUGUCGUGAAAAUCUCAACCUUCUCGGUUUCUUCUGGAUGCCGAAGGAGGCUUGGACUUUGGAGGCCUUUGCUGGCGUCUCUCGCCAGCUCCUCUCAAAUGAAUUAGCGGGGUCCUCUUUGCCGAUCCUCGACAUGUGAUAAGAUGUUUCCGUGUCUUGGUUUCUGGCUCUGUUGCCUUUGGGACCCGCUUCUAACCGUCUCAACGACGAUGUUUGUGAGCGCGUCUCCCUUCUCGGGAAACGCUCUCUCGAACCCCACGAACCCUUGACCUCAAAUCGGGUGAGACUACCCGCUGAACUUAAGCAUAUCA
rnacentral:rRNA from 1 species